rnacentral:rRNA from 1 species
CGGCGUGCCUAAUACAUGCAAGUCGAACGGUCUUUUCUAUGGAAGCUUGCUUCCACUGAGAAGAUAGUGGCGAACGGGUGAGUAACACGUGGGUAACCUGCCCAUAAGAGGGGGAUAACAUCCGGAAACGGGUGCUAAUACCGCAUAGUUUUCUUGAUUGCAUGAUUGAGAAAGGAAAGACGGCCUUUGUGCUGUCGCUUAUGGAUGGACCCGCGGCGUAUUAGUUAGUUGGUGAGGUAACGGCUCACCAAGACGAUGAUACGUAGCCGACCUGAGAGGGUGAUCGGCCACAUUGGGACUGAGACACGGCCCAAACUCCUACGGGAGGCAGCAGUAGGGAAUCUUCCGCAAUGGACGAAAGUCUGACGGAGCAACGCCGCGUGAGUGAAGAAAGGUUUUCGGAUCGUAAAACUCUGUUGUCAGAGAAGAACAAGUUGGAGAGUAACUGCUCCAGCCUUGACGGUAUCUGACCAGAAAGCCACGGCUAACUACGUGCCAGCAGCCGC